CCCUUAGAUGUUCUGGGCCGCACGCGCGCUACAAUGAUGCAUUCAACGAGUUUAUAACCUUGGUUGAAAAGCCUGGGUAAUCUUUUGAACUUUCGUCGUGAUGGGGCUAGACCCUUGCAAUUAUUGGUCUCCAACGAGGAAUUCCUAGUAAACGCAAGUCAUCAGCUUGCAUUGAUUACGUCCCUGCCCUUUGUACACACCGCCCGUCGCACCUACCGAUUGAAUGGUCCGGUGAAAUCUUCGGAUUGAGACUUUGAUUUCUUCACGGAAAACGUUGUUUUAGAAAGUUGAUUAAACCUUACCAUUUAGAGGAAGGUGAAGUCGUAACA
rnacentral:rRNA from 1 species